CAGCCGCCGCGGUAAUACGUAGGGUGCGAGCGUUAAUCGGAAUUACUGGGCGUAAAGCGUGCGCAGGCGGUUGUGUAAGACAGGUGUGAAGUCCCCGGGCUUAACCUGGGAACUGCGCUUGUGACUGCACAGCUAGAGUAUGGCAGAGGGGGGUGGAAUUCCACGUGUAGCAGUGAAAUGCGUAGAGAUGUGGAGGAACACCGAUGGCGAAGGCAGCCCCCUGGGCCAAUACUGACGCUCAUGCACGAAAGCGUGGGGAGCAAACAGGAUUAGAUACCCGAGUAGUCCCUGUCUCUUAUAC
rnacentral:rRNA from 1 species